rnacentral:rRNA from 1 species
AGUGAACGCUGGCGGUAGGCCUAACACAUGCAAGUCGAACGGCAGCACAGUAAGAGCUUGCUCUUACGGGUGGCGAGUGGCGGACGGGUGAGGAAUACAUCGGAAUCUACUUUUUCGUGGGGGAUAACGUAGGGAAACUUACGCUAAUACCGCAUACGACCUACGGGUGAAAGCAGGGGAUCUUCGGACCUUGCGCGAUUGAAUGAGCCGAUGUCGGAUUAGCUAGUUGGCGGGGUAAAGGCCCACCAAGGCGACGAUCCGUAGCUGGUCUGAGAGGAUGAUCAGCCACACUGGAACUGAGACACGGUACAGACUCCUACGGGAGGCAGCAGUGGGGAAUAUUGGACAAUGGGCGCAAGCCUGAUCCAGCCAUACCGCGUGGGUGAAGAAGGCCUUCGGGUUGUAAAGCCCUUUUGUUGGGAAAGAAAAGCAGCAGGUUAAUACCCAGCUGUUCUGACGGUACCCAAAGAAUAAGCACCGGCUAACUUCGUG